rnacentral:pre_miRNA from 1 species
CCUACACCCAUGUGUGUAGGACCCCAAAAGAUCACUAUUAAAUUUGGCACAGAUCUCUAGAAAAGUUAUCACAUGGGUGUGGGACUUGACUUUUCUAGACAUCUAUGGCAAAUUUAAUGAAGAUCAUUUGGAGUCCUACACACAUGGGUGUGGG